rnacentral:tRNA from 1 species
GCCAGCGUGGCAGAAUCUGGUAAUGCGUUAGUCUCGAAAACUAAUGCCCUCACGGGCUCGCAGGUUCAAAUCCUGCCGCUGGCG